rnacentral:rRNA from 1 species
CACGGUCCAGACUCCUACGGGAGGCAGCAGUGGGGAAUAUUGCACAAUGGGCGCAAGCCUGAUGCAGCCAUGCCGCGUGUAUGAAGAAGGCCUUCGGGUUGUAAAGUACUUUCAGCGGGGAGGAAGGUGCUGAGGUUAAUAACCUCAGCAAUUGACGUUACCCGCAGAAGAAGCACCGGCUAACUCCGUGCCAGCAGCCGCGGUAAUACGGAGGGUGCAAGCGUUAAUCGGAAUUACUGGGCGUAAAGCGCACGCAGGCGGUCUGUCAAGUCGGAUG